rnacentral:tRNA from 1 species
CAGUAGCUCAAAGGUAGAGCACCGAUUUUGUAUCGGCUGUUGCGGGUUCGAUUCCCGCCUGAA